CCAAAUUCAAUAUCACCUAAAUAAAUCAAAAAAACCCAAGAUAAAUCCAAAAAUCAAAUUUCCUCCUAAAAUUCAAUACCACAUCUUCAAGGAAUCAAAGCACCAGUGCAUCAAAGUACCGUAGCAUCAAAGCUCCUCUCCAUCAAAUCACUAGUGCUCCUCUCCAUCUGGUCUUCAAUCUUUGUGAAGCUUGGUUUCGAUAUGCUUUAGAUCUCGCGCGUUUUGGAGAUCGAGGGAUUGGCUCCUUUCUUAACCAGAGUUACAUUUUGGUAAGUGACCAGGAAGAUGAAAUUUCCGACAAUGGAGGGUUGGCGAUGGAGGCGGGUGACAGAGAGCUAAGAUAAUGUCGCCCCAUUUGUUCUUUGACUUCUUUCUACGCUUUCCCAGAGUGAAGCCCGGGGUGGUGUUUUGCGGCUAAUUGUUGGUGGGGGACGAGCAGCUGAAAGUGCUGAUUCAAGAGGAGCUUUCGUUGUUGACUCGUUGGUGUUUGAACUCUCGGUGACGGAGGUCGUGUUGGCAACUUCACAAGGGAACAUAGCCUGACAAGCAAGAGUGUUCCAUCUCCGAUAUUGGUUAGCUGCUCUCAAGUUGAUGUUGAUCUCCUAGCUACUUCUUCCUUUCUCCGGUGUGACUGAAACCUAUUCUCCGGUUUUACUUUGCACUCUUAGCACUAUCCAAACAACCGAAAUCGUCAUUGAACAGAAUGCGGUAGCAGAAAUGUACUGGACUCUCGUUUCUGUUUUUCUUUGUCCCAUGUUAUACUUCAGGCAAUGAAGAGGUCAAUGCCGUGGGUUCAGAUGUUGAAGGAGAUGAUGACA